rnacentral:piRNA from 1 species
UGGUUGAUGAAGGAAGUCACAUUGUUGCCC